rnacentral:rRNA from 1 species
CCUACGGGUCGCACCAGUGGGGAAUAUUGGACAAUGGGCGAAAGCCUGAUCCAGCGAUGCCGCGUGUGUGAAGAAGGUCUUCGGAUUGUAAAGCACUUUCGACGGGGACGAUGAUGACGGUACCAGUAGAAGAAGCCCCGGCUAACUUCGUGCCAGCAGCCGCGGUAAGACGGGGGGGGCAAGUGUUCUUCGGAAUGACUGGGCGUAAAGGGCACGUAGGCGGUGAAUCGGGUUGAAAGUGAAAGUCCCCAAAAACUGGCGGAAGACUCUCGAAACCAAUUCACUUGAGUGAGACAGAGGAGAGUGGAAUUUCGUGUGUAGGGGUGAAAUCCGGAGAUCUACGAAGGAACGCCAAAAGCGAAGGCAGCUCUCUGGGUCCCUACCGACGCUGGAGUGCUAAAGCAUGGGGAGCGAACGGGAUUAGAUACCCGCGUAGUC